rnacentral:lncRNA from 1 species
CCAUCGAAAAUAACAUGCCAAGCUGACAAUAUUAGUAUAGGUACAGUCUUCCAUUUUAAUGUAAAUGCAAUACAAAAGAAAGACAUCUGAUCCCUCUAUGUCAACCUAAUCUGAUCAUUUUACAACACAACUAAACACCCUGACUAAUCUCCACGCGCCCCGUGAGAUCCUCCUAACGUAGCUGCAGUCAAGUGUUCCCAUCUCCAUUUCCGUCCGUAGGGUACGAACCGGUAGGAUCGUCCUGACUCUCAUCUGAGGGCAAAGCCCAGAUUUCCACAAUAAUUGUAAAG